GGGAUGGCUCAGUCGGUACAGCAUGAGACUCUUAACCUCAAGGUCGUGGAUUCAAGCCCCACUUUGGGCA